AGCGAACGCUGGCGGCAGGCUUAACACAUGCAAGUCGAGCGCCCGUAGCAAUACGGGAGCGGCAGACGGGUGAGUAACACGUGGGAACGUGCCUUUUGGUUCGAACAACUGAGGGAAACUUCAGCUAAUACCGGAUAAGCCCUUACGGGGAAAGAUUUAUCGCCAAAAGAUCGGCCCGCGUCUGAUUAGCUAGUUGGUGGGGUAAUGGCCCACCAAGGCUACGAUCAGUAGCUGGUCNGAGAGGAUGAUCAGCCACACUGGGACUGAGACACGGCCCAGACUCCUACGGGAGGCAGCAGUGGGGAAUCUUGGACAAUGGGCGCAAGCCUGAUCCAGCCAUGCCGCGUGAGUGAUGAA
rnacentral:rRNA from 1 species